GCGGAUGUGGCGAAAUGGCAUACGCGCCAGACUUAGGAUCUGGUGGGGCAACCCGUAGGAGUUCGAGUCUCCUCAUCCGCAC
rnacentral:tRNA from 1 species